UUUAAAGUGGUACGCGAGCUGGGUUUAGAACGUCGUGAGACAGUUCGGUCCCUAUCUGCCGUGGGCGUUUGAGAGUUGAGAGGAGCUGCUCCUAGUACGAGAGGACCGGAGUGGACGAACCUCUGGUGUUCCGGUUGUCACGCCAGUGGCACUGCCGGGUAGCUAAGUUCGGAAUCGAUAACCGCUGAAAGCAUCUAAGCGGGAAGCGAGCCUCGAGAUAAGCUCUCACUAGCACAUUAAGUGCUCUGAAGGGUCGUUGCAGACGACGACGUUGAUAGGCGGGGUGUGGAAGCGUUGUAAGGCGUUGAGCUAACCCGUACUAAUUGCCCGUGAGACUUAACCAUACAACACCC
rnacentral:rRNA from 1 species